rnacentral:rRNA from 1 species
GACAGAGGGUGCAAACGUUGUUCGGAAUUACUGGGCGUAAAGCGUGUGUAGGCGGCCAUAUAAGUCGGAUGUGAAAGCCCUGGGCUCAACCCAGGAAGUGCACUCGAUACUGUAUGGCUUGAGUAUCGGAGAGGUUGGUGGAAUUCUCGGUGUAGAGGUGAAAUUCGUAGAUAUCGAGAGGAACACCGGUGGCGAAGGCGGCCAACUGGACGAAUACUGACGCUGAGACACGAAAGCGUGGGGAGCAAACAGG